rnacentral:lncRNA from 1 species
AUGUACUCCCACACCACCAUGGUAGCCCACACCAACACCACAGUAGUCCACAGCACCAUCACCACAGUAGCCAACACCACCACAAACAUAGUAGCUCACAGCACCACCACCACCAUGGUAGCCCACACCAACACCACCAACACCACCACCCUGGUAGCCCACACCAACACCACAACCACCACCACCACCAUGGUAGCCCACACCAACACCACCAGCACCACCACCCUGGUAGCCCACACCAACACCACAACCAGCACCACCCUGGUAGCCCACACCAACACUACAACCACCACCACCCUGGUAGCCCACUACAACCACCACCACCCUGGUAGCCCACACCAACACUACAACCACCACCACCCUGGUAGCCCACACCAACACUACAACCACCACCACCCUGGUAGCCCACACCAACACUACAACCACCACCACCCUGGUAGCCCACACCAACACCACAACCACCACCACCACCACCAUGGUAGCCCACACCAACACCACCAGCAGCACCACCCUGGUAGCCCACACCAACACCACAACCACCACCACCCUGGUAGCCCACACCAACACCACCACCACUACCAUGGUAGCUUACACCAACACCACCAGCACCACCACCCUGGUAGCCCACACCAACACUACAACCACCACCACCCUGGUAGCCCACACCAACACUACAACCACCACCACCCUGUAGCCCACACCAACACUACAACCACCACCACCCUGGUAGCCCACACCAACACUACAACCACCACCACCCUGGUAGCCCACACCAACACUACAACCACCACCACCCUGGUAGCCCACACCAACACUACAACCACCACCACCCUGGUAGCCCACACCAACACUACAACCACCACCACCCUGGUAGCCCACACCAACACUACAACCACCACCACCCUGGUAGCCCACACCAACACUACAACCACCACCACCCUGGUAGCCCACACCAACACUACAACCACCACCACCCUGGUAGCCCACACCAACACUACAACCACCACCACCCUGGUAGCCCACACCAACACUACAACCCACCACCACCCUGGUAGCCCACACCAACACUACAACCACCACCACCCUGUAGCCCACACCAACACUACAACCACCACCAACCCUGGUAGCCCACACCAACACUACAACCACCACCACCCUGGUAGCCCACACCAACACUACAACCACCACCACCCUGGUAGCCCACACCAACACUACAACCACCACCCACCCUGGUAG